rnacentral:tRNA from 1 species
GUUUUAAUAAUUUAAAUAAAAUGUUGGUCUUGUAAACCAAAAAUGAUUAAUUUCUUAAAACU